rnacentral:misc_RNA from 1 species
UCCCCGUUCUCCUGGGCAGUCUCUCCAGAGUUCUCGGCUUGACCCGUUAGUAACUGAAGACAGGGGUUGCGCUCGUUGCGGGACUUAACCCAACACCUCACGGCACGAGCUGACGACAACCAUGCAGCACCUCGGCUGGCUCCCUUGCGGGUCAUCCCGUGUUUCCACAGGACUAACACCAGUCGUUCGAGCCCAGGUAAGGUUUUUCGCGUAGCGUCGAAUUAAACCACAUGCUCCACCGCUUGUGCGGGUCCCCGUCAAUUCCUUUGAGUUUUAACCUUGCGGCCGUACUCCCCAGGCGGGACACUUAAUGCGUUAGCGUCGGCACGGAAGGGGUUGAUAGAGUCCCACACCUAGUGCCCAACGUUUACGGCGUGGACUAC